UGGCCCUCCUGUUGCUGCUGGAGUCCAGCUCUCAAUCCAACAACAGCCGGAGGGCUGGA
rnacentral:pre_miRNA from 1 species